UACUAUUUCUUUGUGGGAAAGUCAUACAUCA
rnacentral:piRNA from 1 species